rnacentral:rRNA from 1 species
GACGAACGCUGGCGGCGUGCUUAACACAUGCAAGUCGAACGGAAAGGCCCUGCUUGCAGGGUACUCGAGUGGCGAACGGGUGAGUAACACGUGGGUGAUCUGCCCUGCACUUCGGGAUACGCCUGGGAAACUGGGUCUAAUACCGGAUAGGAGCCAUUCUUAGUGUGAUGGUUGGAAAGUUUUUUCGGUGUAGGAUGAGCUCGCGGCCUAUCAGCUUGUUGGUGGGGUAAUGGCCUACCAAGGCGGCGACGGGUAGCCGGCCUGAGAGGGUGGACGGCCACAUUAGGAAUGAGAAACGGCCCAGACUCCUACGGGAGGCAGCAGUGGGGAAUAUUGCACAACGGGCGCAAGCCUGAUGCAGCGACGCCGCGUGGGGGAUGACGGCCUUCGGGUUGUAAACUCCUUUCGCUAGGGACGAAGCUUUUUGUGACGGUACCUAGAUAAGAAGCACCGGCUAACUACGUG